ACUUUGGCUAAAAGUUAUUAUUCUUACCAAAUUUUGCAAAGCAAUUAUUAUAAUUUUUUACUCUUUCAAACCAAAGAUCCAUAGUACAGAGAUUGCUUUAGACAUACAUAAGCCUACAAAGGAAGCACGUGUUUAGCUGGCAGUCUAAAAAUACCACCAGUAUUAAAAUAUUAAAAAAUUCAUGAUUCACUUCUCUCACUACAUCACCUUCAGAAAAAGUGUCCAUUUAAUAAUAUUUUCAUGGGAUAAAAUAGGUUUAAAAUGUAAACAAUUUUUUUUAUGAUUCAGUUGUAGUUCUAUGGUCUAGUCCCCAGCUUUUGUCUCGUUGGACAAGUUCUUGAACGGCUGUGAGCCUUGGUUUUCUCAACUGUAAAAUAAGGAAAACAUAUCCACCACCACCACCUCCAGUGAAAGAAUGUUAAGAGAAGGUAAAAGGAAAACAUAAAGAUUAAAUAAAUUUAAACAUGAAGUAGUUUGAUAUUUUACAGAAGUACCAAAGCAACUUAGUGGGAAAGGAAAGUCUUUUCAACAGACAAUGCUAUACCAAUUUGACAUCUAUAAGAGAAAAAAUGAACCUUACCUCACACCAUACAUAGAAGUUAGAGAUGGAUCAUAGCCAUAACAUAAAAGCCAAAGCUAUUACACUUUUAGAAGAAGACAUAUGAGAAUAUUCUCACGGCUUGGGGGUAUGCAAAGUUUCUUAGAGAGGGUUUUGAAAGCACUAACCAUGAAAGAAAAAUAUUGAUAAAUUGAACUCCCAAAAAAUUUUGAACUUUUUUUCAUCAAGACACCAUUAAGACUAUGUAUAAACCACCAGCCAGGAUAAAAUAUUCACAGUACAUGUAUCUUGAUAAAAACUUGUAUUUAGAAUAUAUUAAAAACUCAACAAUGGAAAAGCAGAUAACCUUACAAAAAUAUAUAUAUAUGAAUGGCCAAUAAGCACAUGAUAAAGUAGUCAGCAUCAUUAUUCAGAGUGAAAUGAACAUUAAAAUUUCAGUGAGUUAGCUCUGUACCAGAAUGACUAAAAUUUAAAUGACCACACCAAAUGUCAGGGAGGAUGUGAAGCAACAUUGCUAGUGGAAGUGUAAAAUGGAAGAACCAUUUUGGAAAAGGGCCUGGAAGUUUCUUAUAAAAUUAAACACACCUAUUCUUUGAGCCAGCCAUCCCACUCCUGGUAUUUACCCAAGAGAAAUGAAAGCAUAUGUCCACAAAAAGACUUGUAUUAGACGAUUUAUGGCAGUUUUUAUUCAUUGUUGCCAAAAACUGGAAACAGGAUCGUUGUCCAACAGCAGGAGAACAGAUAAAAACUGGUAUAUUCAAACAAUGGAAUAAUACUCAGCAAAAGAAAGAAAUUACUGAUGAAACAACAGGAGUCAAUCUCAAAAACAUUUUACUGAGUGAAAGAAGCUAGAUAUGAAAGAGCACAAACUGUAAGAUUCCAUAUAUAUGAAUUUCCAGAAUAGGCAAAGCCAACCUAUAGUGGAAAAAAAAAAAAAAAAAACAGAUUGGCUUUGUGGAAGAGAGAAGUGGAAACUAGGAAAGGAGAUGAGGGGAACUUCUAAGCUCACAGUGUGAUCCAUGUCAUAGUAGGGGAUACACAGGCAUAUGCAUCUGUCAAAACCCAGAGAAUGUCUUAUUUAUGUUCCAUGAUUAUUUAACAACACAAAGAACCCUAAGCAAAUAAUGAACUCUAUUAAUGUAAUACAUACCAAUAGAGAUGAAGUGUGUUGACGUCUUCAGCUUACAGUGAAGGGCAUCAAAAAAUAAGAUGAAUGGAAAGAGGGAUGAAUAGAUAAGUGGUAAGACAAAUACGGCAAAAUGCUAAUUGUAGAAUCUAGGAUGUUUGCUAUAUAAUACUUUUCAACGUUUCAGUAUGGUUGAAAAUUUUCCUAAUGUUGAGGAAAAUAUAAAUUUUAUAUUUUUAUCUAAAUAGGAAAACCUAUUAAACUUGAUCAAUAGCAGCAUCUGAUGAAGAAGAUAAAACAAUACAUACAAUACAUAAUCAUACAGAGAUCUUCCAACAAACCCACUGUAAGUUGAAAAUAUUUUAAGUCAAAAAUGCAUUUAAUACAUUUAACCUAUUGAACCUCAUGCCUUAGCCUAACUUACCUUAAAUGUACUCAGAACAUUUACAUUAGCCUACAGUUGGAUAAAAUCAUCUAACACAAACCAUAUUUUAUAAUAGAAUUGAAUAUCUCUUGUAACGUAUUGAAUACUGAAAGUGAAGAAUGGUUGUAUGGGUCCAGAAUGGUUGUAAAUAUUUCAAUUGUUUACCCUAGUGCUCGGGAGGCUGACUGGGAGCUGCAGCUUGCUGCCUCUGCCCAACAUCACGAGAGAGUAUUGUACCACAUACCACUAGCCCAGGAAAAGAUCAAAAUUCAAAAUCUGAGGCCUGCUAAGUAGCAUUGAGUGGUGGUUAACAGCAUGGGCUUAAGCCAGACUUACAAGGUUUGAAUCCUGGCUCUGCCACUUUUUAGCUGUGAGACAUUGGGUAAGUUGCUUAAUUUAUUGGUGUUUGCUUUCUGCAUCUUUAUUUUAUUUUAUUUAUUUAUUUUAUUUUUUGCUUUCUGCAUCUUUAAAGCGCAAUAAUACCUACCCUCAUUAGGUUGUUGUAAAGAAUAAAAACAUUAAUCUAUGUAAGUCUUCAAAUGUUACCUGCAUUAAGUAAAGUGGUAGUUAUUAUCAUUUGCUACCUAUGGUUCAUUGAGUACUUACCUUGCCAUGAAAUCAAUUCUGUCCCAGGUAUGAGGAAGCAGUUAGAUUAAAGACCUUGUUUCUUAUUUAUAUUUUUUAAAUAAUUUUAAUAAAAAUAUUCUUAUAGACCAACACUGUCCAGUAUGGUAGCUACUAGCCCUAUGUAGCUAUUGAACACUUGAAAUGUAGCUAAUUAGAAGAGUAGUGUUGCAAGUAUAAAAUAACUCAGAUUUUAAAGAUUUAGAAGAAAGGCAUCAGUGACAGUAAUAAAGAAUGUCAAAAGUCCUUCUGUCUGUAAGAGCAACCAAAAACUCUCAAAACUUGUGAGAAUCAACUUUUUAAGAAUUCUGGACAGUAAUAAAAACGUUGAAGCAA